rnacentral:rRNA from 1 species
UGGGGAAUAUUGCACAAUGGGCGAAAGCCUGAUGCAGCGACGCCGCGUGAGGGAUGACGGCCUUCGGGUUGUAAACCUCUUUCAGCAGGGACGAAGCGCAAGUGACGGUACCUGCAGAAGAAGCACCGGCUAACUACGUGCCAGCAGCCGCGGCAAUACGUAGGGUGCAAGCGUUGUCCGGAAUUACUGGGCGUAAAGAGUUCGUAGGCGGUUUGUCGCGUCGUUUGUGAAAACCAGCAGCUCAACUGCUGGCUUGCAGGCGAUACGGGCAGACGUGAGUGUUGCAGGGGAGACUGGAGUGCCUGGGGUAGCGGUGAAAUGCGCAGAUAUCAGGAGGAGCACCGGUGGCGAAGGGGGGUCUCUGGGCAGUAACUGACGCUGAGGAACGAAAGCGUGGGUAGCGAACAGG